CUGUGAUGAUGGUAUAGUCUUUCUGUUCUGACCUGUUAAGGAGAUUACUUUUUCAACUGAUCAUAC